rnacentral:rRNA from 1 species
GAUGAACGCUAGCGGCAGGCCUAACACAUGCAAGUCGAGCGGUAGGGAGGCUUCGGUUUCCUGAGAGCGGCGCACGGGUGCGUAACGCGUAUGCAACCUACCCUCUACAGGGGAAUAGCCCGUCGAAAGGCGGAUUAAUGCCCCAUGGCUCCUUCGAGUGGCAUCUCCUGAAGGGUAAAGAUUUAUCGGUAGAGGAUGGGCAUGCGUGCCAUUAGCUGGAUGGUGGGGUAACGGCCCACCAUGGCGACGAUGGCUAGGGGUUCUGAGAGGAAGGCCCCCCACACUGGGACUGAGACACGGCCCAGACUCCUACGGGAGGCAGCAGUGAGGAAUAUUGGUCAAUGGGCGGAAGCCUGAACCAGCCAUGCCGCGUGCGGGAAGAAGGCGCUACGCGUCGUAAACCGCUUUUGUCCGGGGGUAACCGCAGGGACGUGUCCCUGCCUGCAAGUACCGGACGAAUAAGGGUCGGCUAACUCCGUGCCAGCCGCCGCGGUAAUAC